AAGGCCCCCUACUCCGGCCCGUUCCACUCAAAGCGAGGCACUCCGGCCUCCGCCGCCGAUGAGGAGCAGAGCUGUCCCCUGUUGCUGCUGCUGCAGUGUCCCUGGCCGUCCGCUCCGGCAGCACCUCCGGUGUCCCAGCCCGUUCCCACCAGGUGCUGCUGUUCCCUGUUUCCUCCCCACCUCGACUUCCUCACAUUUGGUCUUCUGCUGAACUGGGUGCUGGCGGAGAAUUAAGCUGCUGCAGGCUAGGAGGCUCUGGAGCCGGAAUCUCUUUGCGGAAUGAAUUGUUGGUGCAUUAGAUCAGACCUGGUAAAAUUGUUCAGGACAAAUGCAACCCUUUCGUAUGUUCCUUUGUUCGCUGCAUAAAUGAACUCUGUUUGCUUUGUACUUGCAUGAAUGAACUCUGCAGUGAUUAAGGUCACAUGGUUUGGUGUGUCAACCUCUAAUGAAGAUUGCGGCUACUGAUAUAUCUCUACAGUAAGGUCUAGGUCCUUCUAAAAACAUCCAUCCUAUUCAUUCAACUACUGGCAGUAGGGUCUGUAUGUGUAUUCUGCAAGUGUUUUGCUUCUGUCUUCCUCCAAUCAGGAAUCUGUCAAUUUGACUGGUGUUCAGUCUUUGCAAUAGUUGAAGGGCUCUAGGCAGUGUUUCAGUUUGUCCUUGUAUGUCUCUUUCAGUUCAUCUGAUAUCUACUAUGAUCAAAUAAGUGGUGAAAAAUUGAAAAAAAAUUAAUCUCUGUACUCUGGACUUGAUGUGGUUAAACCUGAAACUCCUACUCGUUUUUCAGUACUGUCAGACUACAACAGAUGUUAGAAUGGAAGGAACUCACUUUACAAAAUUGCAUCAUGUGUUUCUGUGAGACAAUAUUAUCAUACUGUGAGACUCACUUUUUAAUUUCAUUGUUUAUUGAUUUGUGAAACUCUACUUGUGGCUACCUGGCAAAGAUACAAAGUCCAGACUCACAAUUCGUGCCUAACUAGCUCACUUUCUUUAUAGAAAUUUUCCAUGUUAGCUUUUUUUACUGAGUUUAUAGUGCAGUUUCUAUGGUUCCUUACUUAAAAGGACAUUCUUUCGGUCUUUCCUCAUUGGUUGGUACUUGGUAGGAUGAAAGCAUCUAUCUACAGUUAAAACUUUCAAAAUAUUUGAUUUUGUUUUCAAUACAAAAGUAACAUAUUUUUUGUGUAACGAAUGAGAAACAUAUGUGCUAUGUGCUAUGUAGCAGCUCUAAUUUUUGUCCAUAGUGACGGUGUGGGGAGCAGGGGAAUUGGGUGGUGUGAUUUCUGGAGAUUUGAUCUAAUCGUCUUCAAGCCAGUGCAACUUUUAGUUUGCAGCCGUGGGAUGUUUGCAAUUAAAACUGAUGUUGAACUGCUCAAUGCUUCUUGCUCUUUUGACUUUCAGCUUAGGUAUAACAAAACCACAUUUUUCUGUAAAGAACUUACCUUUUAUCAAGCUCUUAAAUCAAUGUUCACUAAUCAUGUCCCAUCAGAUGCUCAGUUUUUUUAGCUUAUAGGAAUUUUGUCAGCAAGAAAGGUCAUUAAUAUUUCAUUUAACUGAAAUUUACUUAUUGUUGUUCAUGUGGGAAACUGAGAAUCGUAAGUUGCAGUUGGUUAGAUCAAAAUGAAUUCUCCUCGUCAGCCAUGAUCCCACCUGUGAGCAUGAGAAAGUUGAACCAGCAUCAAGUUUCUGCUUUUGACAUUUUCAUUCAAGGAACUGGACUAAGUUUUGUGCUUGUUUGACUCACAGUUAAUGAGAUCUGAACCUUUCUGCAAGCUCUAAACCUUUAUGUUUGUCUAAUUCCAAAUAUCUGCUACUGCAUAACUGGUGGGAUGGCCUCAAGGAUGGGCAUGGGUACUGCCACCUGUGGUGGUGUAUGACACACAAUUCAAACUCUGCCAGAUAUUGCCCUUCCAUCUCAGCUUUGUCUGUCCGGAGCCCUCCACCGCUUGCAGCCAUGGGUACUGCUGCCCAUGGUGGUUUCCUUCCUAGCUCUGACCAGGAUCGUUGCUGUGAAAGACAAUACAUACCGAUCGAGUCUUAGUUGUGUGGGAAGGAGUCACAUAGGAGGCACAAUGAUGGAGGCCCGACCCCUCCUAUUCCUCCACAGUAGGCGCAGCUACUCCACCUCUGCCUCCACUGAGGACAUCAUCAUCUCCACCCUCCGCCUCCUCUCCACUCCCCUUGCCAAUCCACUUCCACUCCCUAUCCCUACUAUGGUUCAGUCUAACAGGCGAGGCCUGUUGUUUAGAGUACAAUGUGUGGGAGGGGAGAGAUGACAUGCUAAACCUAUUACACCAUCCAUUUGUUACAUGUUGCAGGUUAUGUAGCAACCUGCAGGCCCAGGAAGUUGCCGCUUCUCAGCAAGCUGCUAGUAGUCGGUGCAGGCUUGGGUGCGGUUUCCAGAACACCACAUUCUUGCGGUGCUUCUAGAGUCCCCAGCAGCAUAAGAGGAGAAAAGCUGGAGCUGCAGCUGCAGUGAUUUCUGAGGGAAGUGAGGAGGACAGUUCACAAACUGGGGCAAGCUGAGCGUCACUGCCACACAUAUGGUUCAAGCAUUCUCUAGAAAACAGACAUUGAGUGAUAAUGUGGUCAGCAUCCUCAAUAUCCACGUGGCAGAGGAUGCAGCGGGCAUUGUUGACAAUGACGAGCUUCCAGCUGAUUUCUGUGCUUGAUCUGUGACUUAAUAGGGAAUAUAUAAUGUAUUGCAAAGUCAGUGUUUUAGUGAUGCCAUAAUUGAACUUUUGAAAUAAAGCCAUAUUUGUUAUA